rnacentral:rRNA from 1 species
AAUGAACGCUGGCGGCGUGCCUAAUACAUGCAAGUCGAGCGAACAGACGAGGAGCUCGUUCUCCUGCCGUUAGCGGCGGACGGGCGAGUAACACGUGCAUAACCUACCUAUAAGUCUGGGAUAAUUACGGGAAACCGCUGAUAAUACUGCAGAAUAUAUCGAACGGCUUGAUGCAAUAGUGAAACACGCCUUUCCCGCCACUAAUAGACGAAUUCGGGUCGGAUUAGUGAGUUGGUAAGGUAAUGGCCUACCAAGGAUACGGAGCGUAGCCGACCUGAGAGGGUGAUCGGCCAAACUGGAACUGGGGCACGGUCCAGACUCCUACGGGAAGCAGCAGUAGGGAAUCUUCGGCAAUGGGCGGAAACCUGACGGAACAAAGCCGCGUGAGUGGAAAAGGUCUUCGGGUCGGAAAACUCUGUUAGUAGGGAAAAACAAAUGUGUAAGUAACUAUGCGCGGCUUGACGGUACCUAAUCAGAAAGCCACGGCUAACUACGUU